GAUCAUGGCUCAGGACGAACGCUGGCGGCGCGCCUAACACAUGCAAGUCGAACGGAGUUUACAGACGGAAGUUUUCGGAUGGAAGCUUGUAAACUUAGUGGCGGACGGGUGAGUAACACGUGAGCAACCUGCCUAUCAGAGGGGGGAUAACGAUUGGAAACGAUCGCUAAUACCGCAUGACAUAGCGGAAUCGCAUGGUUCUGUUAUCAAAGAUUUUAUCGCUGAUAGAUGGG
rnacentral:rRNA from 1 species